rnacentral:rRNA from 1 species
GACGAACGCUGGCGGCGUGCUUAACACAUGCAAGUCGAACGGUAAGGCCCUUCGGGGUACACGAGUGGCGAACGGGUGAGUAACACGUGGGUGAUCUGCCCUGCACUUCGGGAUAAGCCUGGGAAACUGGGUCUAAUACCGGAUAGGACCACUGCCUGCAUGGGUGGUGGUGGAAAGCUUUUGCGGUGUGGGAUGGGCCCGCGGCCUAUCAGCUUGUUGGUGGGGUGAUGGCCUACCAAGGCGACGACGGGUAGCCGGCCUGAGAGGGUGACCGGCCACACUGGGACUGAGAUACGGCCCAGACUCCUACGGAGGCAGCAGUGGGGAAUAUUGCACAAUGGGCGCAAGCCUGAUGCAGCGACGCCGCGUGAGGGAUGACGGCCUUCGGGUUGUAAACCUCUUUCAGCACCGACGAAGUGCAAGUGACGGUAGGUGCAGAAGAAGGACCGGCCAACUACGUGCCAGCCGCCGCGGUAA